rnacentral:rRNA from 1 species
GUACACGCUGUGACUAGCAUAUCAAUAAGCGGACGGAAAAGAAACUAACAAGGAUUCCCCUAGUAACGGCGAGUGAAGCGGGAAGAGCUCAAAUUUGAAAUCUUAAAGGGUUUCCCUUUACGAAUUGUAGUUUAAAGAAGUGUUUUCUGUUGAGGUUUUGGUAAAAGUUCUUUGGAAUAGGACAUCAUAGAGGGUGAGAAUCCCGUAUUUGACCUUUACUUUCAACUUUGUGAUACACUUUCAAAGAGUCGGAUUGUUUGGGAUUGCAGUCCAAAAUGGGUGGUAAAUUUCAUCUAAAGCUAAAUAUUGGCGAGAGACCGAUAGCGAACAAGUACCGUGAGGGAAAGAUGAAAAGAACUUUGAAAAGAGAGUUAAACAGUACGUGAAAUUGUCAAAAGGGAAGCGUUUGACAGCCAGUGUUGUUUUUCUGAAAAUCAAUUAAAGAACUGUUUAUGCUAAGUUGUUUAGACUUUAUCAGCUAACUGUUUAGUUUUGAGCUUUUCUUUAAUGCACUUUUCAGUUAACAAGUCAACAUCAAUUUCUUUUGCUGUAAAAAGCUUGAGGAAGGUGGCUUGAGAUUCGUCUUAAGUGUUUAUAGCCUCUUGCCUAUGCAAGUCGGAGAGAUUGAGGUCUGCAGCGUAGAUCCUUCGGGGCUAAAUGCAUUUGUGCUAAGUUAUAGCAUUUCAUAGACAACUUGUUGACUAUGAUUUGUCUUGUAGCUUACUCGCUUAUGUUAUUUUACCUACGCUUAGGAUGUUGACAGCAGUAUAGACUGU